AUGCCCGCCGGCCCCCUCCCCCGUUCGCUAGGGUUGAGGUCGUCGGGCCUCCUCCGGCGGCAAGGUGCUCGGCGAGGAGGAGAAGAACGCCGGGAACGUCUCCGCCCGGCCCGAGCUCACCGACACUGGCGCCCCGAGCACCUUCUCCUCAGGCGUCGCCGCCCCGUUCCUCUUAGACUCCGACGCUGCCGGCCACCUGCACCGCCGUCCUCUUCAACUCUUCUGCUUCGUCGAUGGUCGCCACCACGCAUCGAGGCCCAAGGAGGAGGAGUUGGAGGAGGGAGAGUAUGA
rnacentral:rRNA from 1 species